AGAGUUUGAUCCUGGCUCAGAACGAACGCUGGCGGCGUGCUUAACACAUGCAAGUCGAGUGCGCGUUUCCGUAGCAAUACGGAGAUGGCGCACGGCGCACGGGUGCGUAACACGUGGGUAAUCUGCCCUCCGAUGGGGAAUAACCCCGCGAAAGCGGGGCUAAUUCCGCAUAACAUUCCGAGGACUCCGGUUUUUGGACUCAAAGGCGUAAGUCGUCGGAGGUGGAGCCCGCGCACGAUUAGCUAGUUGGUAGGGUAAUGGCCUACCAAGGCUUUGAUCGUUAGCUGGUCUGAGAGGAUGGCCAGCCACACUGGAACUGAGACACGGUCCAGACUCCUACGGGAGGCAGCAGUGGGGAAUCUUGCACAAUGGGCGAAAGCCUGAUGCAGCGACGCCGCGUGGGGGAUGAAGCUUCUCGGAGUGUAAACCCCUUUCGACCCGGACGAAUGCCCCGCAAGGGGAGUGACGGUACGGGUAUAAGAAGCCCCGGCUAACUACGUGCCAGCAGCCGCGGUAAGACGUGGGGGGCCAGCGUUGUUCGGAAUUACUGGGUGUAAAGGGUUCGUAGGCGGUGUGGCAAGUCGGGAGUGAAAUCUCUGGGCUCAACUCAGAGGCUGCUUCCGAAACUGCUGUGCUGGAGUGUGGGAGAGGCGCGUGGAAUUGCAGGUGUAGCGGUGAAAUGCGUAGAUAUCUGCAGGAACACCCGUGGCGAAAGCGGCGCGCUGGACCACUACUGACGCUGAGGAACGAAAGCUAGGGGAGCAAACAGGAUUAGAUACCCUGGUAGUCCUAGCCCUAAACGAUCAGGACUUGGGGUGCCACCCGUUCGGGUGUCGUCCCGGAGCUAACGCGUUAAGUCCUGCACCUGGGGAGUA
rnacentral:rRNA from 1 species